CCCUUAGAUGUUCUGGGCCGCACGCGUGCUACACUGAGUGGAUCAGCGGGUCAGGUUGCGCGAAAGUGUUUCCUAAUCUUGAAAUCCGCUCGUGAUGGGGAUUGACGGUUGCAAUUUUCCGUCAUGAACGAGGAAUACCUUGUAAGCGCGGGUCAUCAUCCCGCGCUGAAUACGUCCCUGCCCUUUGUACACACCGCCCGUCGCUCCUACCGAUUGAGUGGUCCGGUGAGGCUUUGGGAUCUGAGCGGAAAGAGCGUUUCGCUGUUUCUGCUCAGAAAACUCAGUCGAACCUUAUCAUUUAGAGGAAGGAGAAGUCGUAACA
rnacentral:rRNA from 1 species